AACCUUAUUAACUUGAAGGGAGAGAAUAAAGACAGAGAAUAAAGAGAGGGCACAGAUGGAAUUGUUUACAGCUGCUAUAACGUUCCUCAACAAACAAACCAACAGACGGACUCGGAACAGGAUGCUGAUGAUUUACAGAGAAACGCAUCCGAAUGAAUCAGGAGGAACUUCAUCAUGCAGCAAGACAACGAUCCAAAACACACUUCCACCUCAACACAGGACUUCAUCAGGGGGAAAGUGGAAGGUUUUAGACUGGACAAGUCCAUCACCAGACCUUCACCCAACUGAUCAGCAUCUCACCUCCUGAAGAGGAGACUGAAGGGAGAAACAACCCGAAACUACUGGAAGAAGCUGCAGGAGAAACCUGGAGAAGCUUCACAGAAGAAGAAACCAGCAGUUUGGUGUCAUUGAGUCGCAGGAGUGAUGCACUUACUGCGAGUAAAGGAAAUGCAACCAAAUAUUAGACUAAAAUGUUAGUCUUGAAGUAAAUUAAAGUAAAUCUGUUCCUAUACUUUUGCUCACCUAAAAAUGGGUUUGAUACAAAAGGUUCUAUGUUUGAUGUUGUUUAACACGUCUAGAUGUAAACACCAGGAAAUAAAAGAUGAAAUCCUAAACUGAUCUCAUCUCCACCUUUUAAUCUCAAACACAGAUGUAUUUGGUGUGGAGCACAAACACAUAAACUGGCUUUGUGUUCCAAUAGUUUUGGAUGGGGCUGUAUAUUGUUUAUACCUGUAUAUAAACAGUUAGUCUUUUUUUUUUUCAUCGUCACAUAGCAGGACUCGGGUAGGGGGCGUGGCCUAACUCAGAAUGCAGGUUAUAAUUUGUACAUUUUAUUAUUUUCUAGUUCAUGGUGAAUGUUUUGUUUUGUUUUGUUUUACACUGCACUAUUCCUUUUUGUUAUUAAAAAGCGUGUUGAACACUG